CCCUUCACUGGUAGCCUGGUAACAUACACUCCCAGGUCUUUCUCUGCCUCUGUGGUGGAUAGUGGAGUGUUUCCCAUGUGGUAUUGGUGUGCUGGAUAUCCCCUCCCAAGGUGCAGGACUUUACAUUUUUCCUCAUUGAAUUGUAGCAGCCACUUUUUGAUCCAUUCCUGUAGGUUGGUGAUGUCUUCUUGUAGGAAAUCCACAGUCAAGGGGUUAAAAUACAGUCUCCCUAGGACCCAAAGUCUAUUCAUGUUCUCAUUAUCGUACCUGUGAGAGAUGAAAGUAACUAAUUUCCCUUUCUCAGGUAACCCACGCACCAACACCACCACUAACAUCAACAACACACCUGCCAGCCACACACCUUGAACACGCCUAACACAACACACACCCCUGUCCUGCACACCACUGAGGUUGAUCUUGGCGAGUCUCACGGUAGUAUGGAUGUCACGCUGGGCUGAAUGGCUGCCGAGUGAGUUAGACAAGGUUGGUCCACUGUGACUUCAUAGCUUUGGAAGUGAUGUGUCUGUUUAUGUUUCUUCUCAUCCUUGUUCUUCUCCUUCUCCUUCUUCUUCUACUUCCUCCUCUUCUUUGUCAUCGGUCACCUUCUUCUUCUUCAUCUUUCUUGCAUCUAUAUUUUUUCUUCCUCUUUUUUUCUUCUUCUACUUCCUCCUCUUCUUUUUCUUCUUGCUGUUUUAGUCAUUGUUCUUCUUUGUCAUCAUCUUCACCUUCUUCUUCCUCUUCUACUUUUGCUUCUUCAUCUUCUAUCAUUGCAUCGAUUUAUAUUUUUUCUUCCUCUUUUUCUUCUUCUACUUCUUCCUCUCUAUCUUCUUUCUUGCAUCUAUUUAUAUUUUUCUUCCUCUUUUUCUUCUUCCUCUUCUGUUGCUUCUUUGUCAUCGUCGUUGUCGUCAUCUUUUUCUCUUUUUUCAUGCAUCUUUUCUUUCUUUUCCGUUUCCUUGGGCUGGAUAUACACACUCAUGCUAUUUCUCUUCACUCCAGUUGACAUGUACAAUCUUGGCCUUGCUAUUUGUUUUUUCGUCCUGUGUAACUUGGUUCAUAAUUUCCGUUUGAAUAUUCCGUAACCCGCUAUACUCCCAUGUUAUUUGGUCCCACACUCCUCUGAACCUUACCGUACAUCUGUUACUGAUAUUAAAGGGAAGGGAGCUGUUUGAAUAUUCUGUAACCCGCUAUACUCCCAUGUUAUUUGGUCCCACACUCCUCCGAACCUUACCGUACAUCUGUUACUGAUAUCAAAGGGAAGGGAGCCGUUUGAACAUUCUGUAACCCGCUAUACUCCCAUGUUAUUUGGUCUCGCACUCUUCCGGACCUUACCAUACGUCUGUUACUGAUAUUAGAGGGAAGGGAGAGUGCCGAGGCGUAGUGUUAAGUAUCGUAUCAGCCUCACGUAUCACGACUCACUGUAACUUGAAGGGUUUGUAGGUGAAGCGCAUGCAGAGUGGUUAUCCCAAGACAUUUCCGCCUCACGUCAGCUGCUUCCAAAGACCAAAAAAGGAGACUAAUCAGGUUCUCAAGAGUGUUUUUUCACAUUCAUGGCACAGAAGAAGGGUCAAGCUACCACCAGGGUCAUAAAACUACCCCUGGAAAUGCCCAAGACUCUUACGAAAGCCUGUCAGAAUUAUGAGUGGUUAGUUUGAAACAUUUCCGCCUCACGUCAGCUGCUUCCAAAGGCCAAAAUGGAGAUAAACUGGGUUCUCUGAGUGUUUUUUCACAUUCAUGGCACAGAAGUAGGGUCAAGCUACCACCAGGGUCAUAAAACUACCCCUGGAAAUGCCCCAAACUCUUACGAAAGCCUUGUCAAAUAUGUGUUUCCUAGGUUCAUGGUACAGAAGAAGCGUCAAACUACCACCAGGGUCAUAAAACUACCCCUGGAAAUGCCCCAAACUCUUAUGAAAGCCUUGUCAAAUAUGUGUUUCCUAGGUUCAUGGUACAGAAUAAGCGUCAAACUACCACCAGGGUCAUAAAAAUACUUCUGGAAAUGCCACAAACUCCUACAAAAGCCUUGUCAAAUAUGUGUUUCCUAGGUUCAUGGUACAGAAGAAGCGUCAGACUACCACCAGGGUCAUAAAAAUACUUCUGGAAAUGCCCAAGACUCCUACGAAAGCCUGUCAAAAUUGUGAGUGGUCAACGUUGCCAGAUUGUCGUACUCAGCCGAUUAUAUUUCCCGACUUCCUACCCCAAACUAUCUUCUGGGCUCCAAUAACGAAACUCAUUUAUAGUUAUCGUUAAAAGAGUUAGAUCCUGAUGUUUCUUGGCAAUAGUUAGGCGUCAGAAACUGGUAAAUUCUAUGCUCUGAGUACGGCAAUCUGGCAACGGUGUGAGUGGUCAUAAAACUACCCCUGGAAAUGCCCACAACUCCUACGAAAGCCUUGUCAAGUGUAUGCUUGGGUGGCGAAAUGUUUAAGAAUACGAAGGGAUGAGUGAGUCAGGGCGAGCCGGUUCAGUUCUCAGCGACGUCUCGGUUAAGAAGCCACAGAAUUCCUUUUAUAGUAAUUUUUAUAUUUAUUUCCGUGAUUCAUGUUGAUCCCCAAGAAAAUGCCACUCACUCGUAUUUUAAGGUUGUUGUGAAGAAUUGUCAGUGUUGUGUGUUUAGAAUAUUUAAGAAUUGUGUGUGUGUGUGUGUGUGUGUGUUAAGAAUGUACUAGACAAUUGUGUGUGUGUCUGUUGGAGUGACUGACAAAUUGUGUGUGUGUGUGUGUGUGUGUGUGUGUGUGUGUGUGUGUGUGUGUGUGUGUGAAGAAUGUACUAGACAAUUAUGUGUGUGUGUGUUUGAGUGACUGACAAAUUGUGUGUGUGUGUGUGUGUGUGUGUGUGUGUUAAGAAUGUACUAGACAAUUGUGUAUGUGUGUGUUGGAGUGACUGACAAAGUGUGUGUGUGUGUGUGUGUGUGUGUGUGUGUGUGUGUGUGUGUGUUAAGAAUGUACUAGACAAUUGUGUGUGUGUCUGUUGGAGUGACUGACAAAUUGUGUGUGUGUGUGUGUGUGUGUGUGUGUGUGUGUGU